GAUGAACGCUGGCGGCGUGCCUAACACAUGCAAGUCGAGCGAUUUACUUCGGUAAAGAGCGGCGGACGGGUGAGUAACGCGUGGGUAACCUGCCCUGUACACACGGAUAACAUACCGAAAGGUAUGCUAAUACGAGAUAACAUACUUUUAUCGCAUGGGAGAAGUAUCAAAGCUUUUGCGGUACAGGAUGGACCCGCGUCUGAUUAGCUAGUUGGUAGGGUAACGGCUUACCAAGGCGACGAUCAGUAGCCGACCUGAGAGGGUGAUCGGCCACAUUGGAACUGAGACACGGUCCAAACUCCUACGGGAGGCAGCAGUGGGGAAUAUUGCACAAUGGGCGAAAGCCUGAUGCAGCAACGCCGCGUGAGCGAUGAAGGCCUUCGGGUCGUAAAGCUCUGUCCUCAAGGAAGAUAAUGACGGUACUUGAGGAGGAAGCCCCGGCUAACUACGUGCCAGCCGCCGCGGUAA
rnacentral:rRNA from 1 species